rnacentral:rRNA from 1 species
GGUGAUGAGAUUUACUCUCUGAGCUGGGGGUGGCCGCAGAGACCAGCGAGAAGCGACUGUUUACUAAAAACACAGGUCCGUGCGAAGCCGUAAGGCGAUGUAUACGGACUGACGCCUGCCCGGUGCUGGAACGUUAAGGGGACCGGUUAGUCACAUUUCGGUGUGGCGAAGCUGAGAACUUAAGCGCCAGUAAACGGCGGUGGUAACUAUAACCAUCCUAAGGUAGCGAAAUUCCUUGUCGGGUAAGUUCCGACCUGCACGAAUGGCGUAACGACUUCUCGACUGUCUCAACCAUAGGCCCGGUGAAAUUGCACUACGAGUAAAGAUGCUCGUUUCGCGCAGCAGGACGGAAAGACCCCGGGACCUUUACUACAGUUUGAUAUUGGUGUUCGGUUCGGCUUGUGUAGGAUAGGUGGGAGACUUUGAAGCGGCCACGCCAGUGGUUGUGGAGUCGUCGUUGAAAUACCACUCUGGUCGUGCUGGAUGUCUAACCUCGGUCCGUGAUCCGGAUCAGGGACAGUGUCUGAUGGGUAGUUUAACUGGGGCGGUUGCCUCCUAAAGAGUAACGGAGGCGCCCAAAGGUUCCCUCAGCCUGGUUGGCAAUCAGGUGUUGAGUGUAAGUGCACAAGGGAGCUUGACUGUGAGACCGACGGGUCGAGCAGGGACGAAAGUCGGGACUAGUGAUCCGGCGGUGGCUUGUGGAAGCGCCGUCGCUCAACGGAUAAAAGGUACCCCGGGGAUAACAGGCUGAUCUUCCCCAAGAGUCCAUAUCGACGGGAUGGUUUGGCACCUCGAUGUCGGCUCGUCGCAUCCUGGGGCUGGAGUCGGUCCCAAGGGUUGGGCUGUUCGCCCAUUAAAGCGGUACGCGAGCUGGGUUUAGAACGUCGUGAGACAGUUCGGUCCCUAUCCGCUGCGCGCGCAGGAACAUUGAGAAGGGCUGUCCCUAGUACGAGAGGACCGGGACGGACGAACCUCUGGUGUGCCAGUUGUCCUGCCAAGGGCAUGGCUGGUUGGCUACGUUCGGAAAGGAUAACCGCUGAAAGCAUCUAAGCGGGAAGCCUGCUUCGAGAUGAGUGUUCCCACCUCCUUGAGAGGGUAAGGCUCCCAGUAGACGACUGGGUUGAUAGGCCAGAUGUGGAAGCCCGGUAACGGGUGGAGCUGACUGGUACUAAUAGGCCGAGGGCUUGUCCUCAGUUG